UUUUGUGUUGAUUUUGCUCAAAAGCUUGUUUAACUUUUAAUGCUCCAUAAUUCGCUUAAUAAAAUAGCUAGAGGUAUUGCUAAAUAUGGAAAACAUAGUUCAAGAAGAAACCUAACCUCAACGUUCUGUGAUUUGUGGACUAAAUGUUACCUGCUUCUCGUUGCUACUUGCAAACAAGGUAGAGUUCAGUCACAAGGAGUUGC